UGUAGUAGGUAACAUCGUGGCCGAAAAA
rnacentral:sRNA from 1 species